UUUUUUUUUUUUUAAAUGUCCGUUGACUUCUAUAAUUUAAUAAUUCAAACAACGUAAAAAUGCCACGAAUUUAUAAACCAGAUCCUCGAAGCAAAAAGUAUAUGAAACCAAAUCAAAAUGAUCUCAAAAAUGCUAUUAUGGCAAUUAAAAGUAAACAGGUAACAUACCGGGAAGCUCAGGAAAUAUAUGGCAUACAUUAUUCUGUACUCUAUAUUGUAACCUAUAGUAUUUACCUACAGUAAAGAAACUGAGAUAACUACCAAACUAAUUAAUUAAGUGUUGAAUAUUUAAUAAAUAUUUUUAAAAAUUUAA